CCCUUAGAUGUUCUGGGCCGCACGCGCGCUACACUGAUGCAUUCAACGAGUCUAAAACCUGGUCUGAGAGGGCUGGGUAAUCUUUUGAAAGUGCAUCGUGAUUGGGAUAGAUGAUUGCAAUUCUUCAUCUUCAACGAGGAAUGCCUAGUAAACGCAAGUCAUCAGCUUGCAUUGAUUACGUCCCUGCCCUUUGUACAUACCGCCCGUCGCUCCUACCGAUUGAACGAUCCGAUGAAAACUGUGGAUUGAGAGUCUGAGUGGGUUCGCCUACCUCAACUUUCGAGAAGCGGUUUAAAUCUUAUCGUUUAGAGGAAGGAGAAGUCGUAACA
rnacentral:rRNA from 1 species